rnacentral:lncRNA from 1 species
GAUAAUAACAAUUUUUCACAUAUUCUUGAUCUUGAGGCCUACAAAUUAUGCACUAAUACAAUCAUAAAUGUCCAAAUAUCCACUAAUACAAAUCAUCCAAAAAUAUCCAGAUGCCCACUAAUACAAAUUAUCCAAAUUUCCACAAAUAUCCACUAAUACAAAUUAAAAGCAGCUUGUUGUCCACAAGAACCAAGGCAUGACAUGAAGCGAGAAUUAGUCCACCAACUCCAACUCCAGAAAAUUCCUAAAGGUUAAAAGAAUCAUAAGAAAAACGAUUUGGCAAAAAUGCAAAUGCCAAAUAAGAAUGAAACCAUCAAUCAAAGAAAUGAAAUGCGUGAUAACCAGCAAUACACAGAGAACUCAUGCGUGAUAACUAAAUGGAGAUAUACUAAUAACAGAAAACUCAUACCCAAUGAGUUAUAGAUGACGCAAAUGAAAUACAUGACAAAAGAAGAUCAAAUGUGAGAUGCAAAAAGUAUAACAAUUUCCAAGAUGAUAUAAACCAUUUGCAUCAUUAAAUUUCAUAAACAUGUGAAAGAAAUCAACUUAUUAGUACAAGCAAAUCACGCAACUAUCAUUAUUGACAUUAUUCAUCUAUAUGAAAAGAAUAUCAAAUCUUCGAAUCCUUAAAGAAACCAUAAGUUAACAGGAGCACAAGGGUGCCUACAUCAUAAGAUGUUUGUUCAUCUACAUGAUCGUAGUCAUUGUUAGCCUGCUGCAUUGCGCAAGAAUGGUAAAACAGAUCAAUAGAAUAGCAAAGUUUCUUCCAUGUAAUCGAAAGGGCACCAAUUUCCCAUGCAAUUGCACAAGCUGUUAAAAAAAAGACAAAAAACAGCAAUAGAAAACAAUAUAUUGCUCCUUGCAUUAGGCGCAAGAUGUCCCCUACUGCCUUAAUUUCCUACUGGAACAAACUCAACACAACACAUAACCAUCGCAUAUAUGAUUGCACUCCACCAGCGUUCUAUAACCAUCUGCAAUUCUGCACUAACCUCUGUGAUCUUAAUACCAUGAGUUAGAAUUGGACAAAACUCUAAAUAGAAAAUUAAAGGUAAAUUACCUCAAACAUCUCCGAAGUCAAGAAAUAGGCAACACAAUCUCUUGUCUAUCCUUCAAUUUCUGGAAAAACAAAAAAAUAAAAUAAAAGAAAUUAAGAAAUAGUAAGGCCGAAUUUAAAUAUUAUGUGUGAACCACAAGGACCUUUUUAUCAAUGUUUCACUGUGUAAGUGUUGCAUUCUUUUUAAUUAUUCAACUCAAAAGCUUCAAACAAGAUAGUGAACCAAUUUAUAAGAGAUAAAAGGAAAUCUACACUUAGUAGCUCUAUUAUUAUAUAUAGAUACUUAAUUCAACAAAUCUAUAAUCCAGUAACAUAUAUAUAUGUGUGUGUGUGUGUGUGUGUAUUUCUUGUUAAAAUACUAACUGAAACCUCAUUUCAACCCCUAAAGAAUUUUUCUAUAGUCAAAUCCUGCAGAGGUAAAAUAUGGUACUUUCUUCACCUUACCAAAUGCAAUUAGUUUCUCCUUUGACGUCUAAGCAAAACUCCACCAACCAUUUCAAGUUUGUAAGUUCCAAAGUUUUCAGGUCUCAAAAAACUGAAAAAGUUCAAUAACAAUAGAAAUUAUUGAACUCGGAAGUGUGUCAUGCAUUUCAAUAAAAUGUAAAAUUCAGAUUUAUUACAGCAAUGUGCAUUCAACCAAAAUUGAAACUGAUGACUUGGCAAAUUGAUUACGGAAAUAACCAACUAAAAGUAGACCAUCAUUCAUUUUCUCAGUUAGCUCCUCCAAAUCAUCAAAGAUGAUGAGAGCAAUUAAGGUGUAAUUAUGACACCAAAUACUCCGAAAGAAAGGCAAAUCAGUCAAAAACCUGCUGAGGUACCAUUAUAGUGCAUAUCAUUGUCCAGUGAGUGGGAUAGAAUAUUAAUUGUCCCUUUUAAUUAUGUUUCUUGAUCACCAUUCCAGAUUAAUAGAAUUUUCAUUAUACAAAUUGUUGAAUUAAACGGCGCAUUAAGUAGAAAGAAAAAGAAGCUAAGUACAUACCUGCAAAAAUCUAGGAAAAGCUCGGUGGGUUGCGCACUUGCUCGCUGGAAAAGCUUAGAAAAAAUCCGGAGAUAGGAAUUCACUGAGAAGCUGGUUGGGUUCGUCAGUCAGCCUCGUUGAAGUGGUUGGGUUCCGAAAGCUGGUUGGGUUGCCUAUGUGAAGCUGGUGGAAGCGGUGGAGAAACUGGAGAUGGAGCUAGUAGAAGCAGAUAUGGCAGUAACGGGGAAUUGGGAGUUUGGGACUUCCCAUGGUUUCAAGAGGGUUGCCUUUCUGGCUCCGUGCAUACUGGGAUGAAUCUGGUGUUUUCGAUUCUCAGGUAAGGGACCCGAGUGCCCCCGCUCAUUGGAGCUGCACUUGCGACAGAGUUAGGACUGAGGACAGUCAGCAGAGAAAACUUGGAGGUUGCUGAGGAGCUAGCGGAAGUGGUGGAGGUGGAGCUAGCAGAGAUGGCGGUAGCGGAAGUACGAAUUAGGAGUUUGGCAGUGGGACAGUCGGUCGGCGGAGCCAGAGGAAGAAGAUUG